AGCAAGCAGCAGAUCUCAGAAGCUUUGGCAAUGUGGCUCUGUCUUUAAAGUCAAGAGGCUAAGGUCAUAAAAUGCUGAUUCGUGGGAUAAUCGAAAGGAAACCUGGUCUAGGUGCCUACGGGAAGUUCAUCUAACCUGUGAAAGAUGUGGCCUCUUAACAAACACAUGUCUGGGUUGCUACUUGGUCCCAGCGUACAACAUGGUAGGAAGUGGAAGUGGAUAGCCUGUUACCACAGAGAUGAAGGGAAGAUAGCAACGAGAAUUUGAGAUGGCCAUCUACCCUGUACCAGAUUCAUAUCCAUAUGCUGAGGUUCCCAUCCUGAUCCCAGAGCUCCACCACUUCAGGAGACAAAAGGGAGACUUACAUAAAGUCUCUUCUUCCAUCUCCUGUUUAUCCCAGAUCUACACUCCCUUCACCUCCCCUUAGAAAAGAGCAGGCCUCCCAGGGACAUCAAUCAACUACAUCAUAACAAGCUACAAGAAGACAGACAUAUAUUCUCACAUCAAAGCUGCACAAGGAAACACAGUACCUCUCUAGGUCUGCAGAUUGUAGCACGAUUGUCUUUACCUACAGCCAAUAUCCAUUGACAAAGGACAGACAGUGUUUGAUAGACCUUGGCCCCCACUUGAACCCUGCAGUCUGCUCUUCCUUGGAAAGAAUCCCAUUUCAGACAGACACUUCUGGCAGAAGGUGCUGACAGACGUGGGAUGAGGCCGGAACUCGUGUCCUGUGACAAUCACCAGCUUUCUGAGGCCUACUCAUGUGUCUGUGCAGAAUGGCCACUUCUGGAUUCUGUUUUCAAUAAACAACAGUGAUCCCAAAUGUA